AAAAAACCAUCGACCCCAUCAUGCGUUGCCCACUCCCAUCGAUCCCAUCUAUUGUUUCCGCCGCCGCCGCCGCCGCUAAAAAACUCCAUCGGUCCCCAUCCUUGCUUGCCCACUCCCAUCGAUAGUUGCCACCGCCGCCGCCGCCGUCCGAGGGGGAGACGUCGCCGCCGCCGCUGCAAGGUAUGGCGGUUUGAAUCCCGCCCCCGCCUCUGCAAGGCAGGGCGGUUUCAAUCCCACCGCCGCCGAACUCCGGGAAUCGCCGCCGCCAAGUCUUCAGGGCAGGGCGGUUUCAAACCCUGCCGACGAUCUCCGGGAUACGCAUAAUCGUCGCUGCCGCCCCCUCCCCCGGCUGCCCCAUGGUCUUCUAUCUCUCCCAACUCCGCUGUCGCGCCCCGUGUUCCGUCUCUGCAUGAAUCGCUGUUGUGGCAGCCACUCCCCAUGGCGGCCAUCCGGGCACACCGUGUCCGGGAUGAUGGAGGUGAUGUCGGCCAGUUCCCUGUUUUCGUUGGCAUCUUCUGCGAUGGGACCCGUGGGGGCAGGUCGCGCGCUGCUCAUCUGCGUCGAUGGCGUCGGCGUCGUCCUUCCCCUGCCAAGCAUGGCGGCUCCUUGGCUGGAUCACAGUGAUGAUACAGUUGGCUCGGCGGCGGCUAGGGAUCUCGCAGGCUGGCGUUUAUUUGAUGUCUGGGUGUUCCAAUCGUGAUGGAACGGACGUAUAAUGUACGGUAUAAGAAUUUGGACGAGGCUCAUCUGCGUGGAUGGUUGUGGCUUGGCCGCCGAGCACACAAUCCAUUGAUUCACACAUAAGACCGUAGCCAUCUACACCAAGGCUCCUCUGCCCUACCGAGUCUUGCAAGCGAUCGUCGUGAGAAAUAUUCCGUGUGAUGCCGGCAUGUGUUGUUGUUGCACUGUCGCAACCAUCCAUCUGCACACCAAAUGUCAAAACCGAGUCGCGGUGUACACAAUGCUGGGCAUUAUUUAUAUCGAAGGACGAGGAGGAAGAUUUGGAUGACCGUAACCACAAUGGCAAGAGCAGCAACAUGGUCGUCACCUGCAAUGCCGAUGGGUGCUGACAUUAUGAUGUUUGGUUUAUUUGUUGAAAGUUACAGCCCAUGUUUCAUGAUUUAUUUGCCACCGGUUAAUCAUGAUAUUUUGAAGUGCUCUGACAAUUGCUUGCUGUCUGCAUCUCUUACUUUUCAACUUGCUGCAUAUACAGAUAUACACCAUUAGAAUCUGUUUGUACAAUAUAUUUACUUAUUCAACAUGCUUCAGUUAUGCUUCUUUGAAAAUCCAGUUGUAGAUUGCAGUGAAGCCCCAUUUAGAUCUUGGCUAUAGUAUUAUUCUUGUCUUAUGACUCGUGACAGGUUGAUAUGUGAUACCAUGACAUAGCAUAUGUGGUACCGUGGUAGUCACAUUUGGUGGUAGUUCUGAUUGUUUGCUAGAUUACGAGAUAAGACCAAGUGCUUCUGCUACUCGGUUGCGGUUUUGAUAGGAACAUGAAGACUUGUGCCAUGCCAUGGAGCAUGUUUGAUUAAAAGGACAUAGUUGCUCCAAUAUAUUGAGCAGGGAAGAAGUUUGUUACAAGUGUUUUAUAGAGUUGACGCCAGAGACGUCCGACGGGAUACAUUGGUGAAGGAAUCGACAAAGGAGCUUCCGUUCAGCAUGGUAUCUCAAUGGAAGAAUAUCCGAAGCAAACCUCCGCUACUUCUCUGUUCCCUUUCAUUUGUCGUGGGAAGACCUUAGGAAGUUUCGUGUUUCAAUGACGCGUGGAGGACGACGGUCACGAGCGCAUUGUCGCAAGCUCACAGGAGGGAGGCACACAUCUCAUCCAAUAUAAAAGCACGCUCCGAAGAAUCCCUAACCCUCCAUGGAGCCAUUGCUAGGGGGCGUCGAGAUCAACGCCACCCAUCACGACCACCGAGAUGUAGAGGGGCUUUGUGACUGAGCUGGUGAAUAAAAUGUCAGUGGUGGAAACGGACAUGUUAUAGAAGAUGUUGAGGGUGGCACCGGAGUUAAUGGCCAAAUGGGGUUCCUCGGCACCGAAGAGAAGGAUGCUGCAGCGACACGUACUGGGUUCCAUUUCCAACCAGAGAAGAACUUAUGAAUGGCACUAGAAAGGAGACGAUCCUAUCCACUAUCACAAUGAAAGAAGAGAAACAAUUCCUUGCAGUCAUCUAUAAGAGUUUAUGAUUAUGUAAAUGGAGUAUGGGAUCUGAGAAGAAAAAAAAGGUAAUAGUACUUUCGUCCACAGGCAGAUUCGACAUAUCCUCGUUUACUUCCCCCUUGUCUUCUGACUGACUCCUUAAAUCAUCAACAUGUGUGUAUAUAUAGUUGCAUUCGAUUCAAGGAAGAUAAUGGACAAGUGUAUUGGUAUGAACAGGUCAUCGACUUUGACAGAAAAUGCAUACAUAUUAUCAGUUUUCCUGCUGAGUUGUACUAUUAUGCUACAGAAUACACAUCAGCUAUUAUGCUACAGAAUACGCAUAAUUAGUUACAGAUCAGUAGGCUACUCAUCUGUGAGUUCUUCCUUAAUGGAGGAUAUGGUAUAGGUAAUAGUGAGUGGUGUUCUAGCUUAUGCACUAUUUCCCCCUGGCCCGAGUUCCACACCAUAACAUGCCGCCGCCCCAGCCGCCGCGUCUGCCACGGCGCCGACGCCUCCCUGGCUCGCGGGACAUCCCCUCUAUAUAUUGUAAUAGACUCCCAUGAAUACAAUUGAGUUGCAUCCUAUAAUCUUCUACAUGCGUCAUCCGGUUUUAAUGGACAGGUUCCAGCAAAAAAUGUCACGCUAUAGGGAAAGCGAGUGGGAAGGGUGUGUUGUAGGGUGGAAUUCUUGUGUUGGAACAACGUGUUGGAGAUAACAUGGUGAAUAGUCCGUACAACUACAUUUCUUCCCCACAUAUGAGUUGGAUUUGGGGGAGUCCAGACGGUUGAAUUUGGGGAGUCUGCUGGGCACCCAUUUGAACACGUCCGAACGUAUGAGGGAGAAAUGAGCUUUGACUUGUUUAAUAUUGUACAAAAAAUAUUUGCUGCUAAUAAUGAGACAGUUCUGAUUUGUACAUGCAAUAUUCUUCCAUGUAUACAGAAUUACAGAUUGAAUGAAAUAUAAGCCAAAGUUGAAUCUCAAGCCUUAAUUUACACUAAAAA